UCCCUGGUGGCUCAGAUGGUAAAGAAUCUGCCUGCAGUGCAGGAGACCCAGGUUCGAUCCCUGGGUGGGAAA
rnacentral:tRNA from 1 species